GUACGGGCUGCUGCGGCCGUGGGCGAAACAGCUGCGCGCGCUGCCGUUACGCACUGCUGGCGCGACAGCGCGGGAGUCGCUGGUGACGGGAAAGAAGAAAGAAAAGAUGCGCACUACCGGGCCACGCACAUGUUCGGGAACAUCUGAGGACGACCAAGUGUGCGCGUGCGGUGUGUGUUCGGCGAGUUCACGGCGAUCGCGCCAACGCCUGACGAAGUGUGACCAACGGCCGUUGUCUGCCGCAUAAGCGAUGUCUUCGAUGGAUGUGUGCAUACGGUGAAGUUGUUUACAAGCAAGUAUCAGGUGUUCAGCCGUUUCCUCCUCCUCUGCACACGCCCCGCACAACAAGUGUCUCUCCUGGUGCCUGGCUCGUUUGUGCGAGUUCCGCAAGCCAGAAAAACUAGCGCAGCACUAUGUGAUACCAAAACUAUUAAAACACGAAAUCACGGGUGGCACUGGUGUCGAGCGAAAACGAAACCUUUUGACCGCCCACAUCAUUGUGGAGGUAAGGAUAGGAAAACUGCUUAGGCUGCACCUUGGAUUCAAGCAGCAGUUUUUAUGAAGAGGAUACAUGUUAUCCAUAUUGGUCCAGAAAAUGUGCAUCCAUCCACGUUUGGAGAAGUCACUACAAGCAGCCAGCAUAGUUCAACAUGUAGUUUAGCUAGAAGACAGCCUAUACAGCCUGUACCAUGAGUCCCUGCUCGCCCAAGUACAUAGGGAACCAUAACGUUUCAGCAGCAAGAAAAAAAUAUGGUGACAAUUCACCAUGCUUAUCGACCACACGGUGGAACUCUUCAGGCAAAUGGAAUUUCCACAGCUUCAGCAGAACACAGCAACCAUAAGAAAGGGCAAGUUUAGAGGGGUCCACACUGACGACAAUGUGUCCUUACCUGACUUCAUUAAAAGAACUCGUGUCGGGAGCAAAGUUCGUGGUCAGCACUUGUCUUUGUCUAUUCUAAUCUUUGAUUGGGCAUCCGCUGCAAUUUGUAGUAAUGUAUGCAGCUGAGCCUCAAUGUAAUGAACAUGGAUAUAAUGAAUUAUUGGAUAUAAGAAAGUAAAUGUAAAAUUUUGCUCACUUAUAUCAGCAUGUAACAAACAUAUGCUGAUAACAAAUAUAUGAAAUAACAAAGUUUCACUGUAGUAGGUUCUGCAACACACAAAACAUCAAAAGCAGGCUAAUGGGUUAAUUGGCAGUGCAUUAUAUGGUGUCUAGCGCAAGGUCACUCAAGCCGACAGGGAACACAAAGACAUGGCGCCAUGUCUUCACCUCCCUUGUCAUUUUGCAGGCCCCAUUUGUGCUAGAGAUCGCAUAAUGAAAAACAUUUUCCAGUGCUAGAGGACAAGGCUUUGCUAGAUGGAAGCAGACUAGACAAUAGAAAAGAUGGAAUAAUCGGGCCAAUUGUACUAAGAACUGUAGUUGAGGCUGAAAUUCAAGCCAGUUAAGUUUCUUGUUUUUAGGCCUGACAAAUACUCUGCAAGUUCAUUCUAGGAAUUAUGAAAGCAGGACCAGAAAGACGAACCAAACAGAACCACUGCCUUGUCCACUCUGCUCCCUAUUUCUGAAAGUCUUGCCCCUCAGCACUGGUAAAUAAGUUCUGCAACAUUUCCACACAGCCAGCUUGAUGUGACCAAGAAGU